rnacentral:rRNA from 1 species
CACGUAGGCGGGCUGUCAAGUCGGCCGUGAAAGGCACGGGCUCAACCUGUGCAUGUCGGUCGAUACUGGCGGUCUGGAGUAUGGGAGAGGGAACUGGAAUCCCCGGUGUAGCGGUGAAAUGCGUAGAUAUCGGGAGGAACACCAGUGGCGAAGGCGGGUUCCUGGCCCAUGACUGACGCUGAGGUGCGAAAGCCGGGGGAGCGAACG